UACAGAGGGUGCGAGCGUUAAUCGGAAUUACUGGGCGUAAAGCGUGCGUAGACGGUUAUUUAAGUCGGGUGUGAAAGCCCCGGGCUCAACCUGGGAAUUGCAUUCGAGACUGAAUAGCUAGGGUACGGUAGAGGGAAGUGGAAUUUCCGGUGUAGCGGUGAAAUGCGUAGAUAUUCGCAAGAACACCAGUGGCGAAGGCGGCUCACUGGCCCGGUACUGACGCUGAGGCACGAAAGCGUGGGGGGCAAACAGG
rnacentral:rRNA from 1 species